rnacentral:rRNA from 1 species
GAUGAACGCUGGCGGCGUGCUAAACACAUGCAAGUCGAACGGUGAAGCCAAGCUUGCUUGGUGGAUCAGUGGCGAACGGGUGAGUAACACGUGAGCAACCUGCCCUGGACUCUGGGAUAAGCGCUGGAAACGGUGUCUAAUACUGGAUAUGAGACGUGAUCGCAUGGUCGUGUUUGGAAAGAUUUUUCGGUCUGGGAUGGGCUCGCGGCCUAUCAGCUUGUUGGUGAGGUAAUGGCUCACCAAGGCGUCGACGGGUAGCCGGCCUGAGAGGGUGACCGGGCACACUGGGACUGAGACACGGCCCAGACUCCUACGGGAGGCAGCAGUGGGGAAUAUUGCACAAUGGGCGAAAGCCUGAUGCAGCAACGCCGCGUGAGGGAUGACGGCCUUCGGGUUGUAAACCUCUUUUAGCAGGGAAGAAGCGAAAGUGACGGUACCUGCAGAAAAAGCGCCGGCUAACUACGUGCCAGCCGCCGCCGUAA